CAGUCAGAAACUCUUUUAAAAAAUUGGAGUGAAGAUAGGGAGUGUGAAAUUCAAGAAUGACUGUUUCUCAAAGUGAAGUCACGUUUUUAGUGCCUUUUUACAUGGAUCUCAAAUCUCUGCAAGACUGAAAACUUUGAGAAUAAAAAUUGAAGGUGCCGGGCAGCCUACAACAUUGUGACAUGGUUUUCAAGCUUCUGGAUCACUCACCAUUUCUUUAUUGAGAGUGUCCCCUGGCAACUGCUUAACAAAAUCCCAAGCUCAGGGGCUUCUCAGGAUUUACCUAAUUUCUGAAAGGCUCUUCUGAAAGAACUCUGGACCUUGCCCAUGGAGAAGUUUAGAGAGGAACUCUUGUGGAGAGCUGGUUUAUUUUCUGCCCUUUGCGACGAGUUUCAGCUGGCCAAGAAAGGAGUCAAGUUAUUAAAAAGCAUCACAAUGUA
rnacentral:sRNA from 1 species